CCUACGGGUGGCAGCAGUGGGGAAUAUUGCACAAUGGGGGAAACCCUGAUGCAGCGAAGCCGCGUGAGUGAAGACGUAUUUAGGUGUGUAAAGCUCUAUCAGCAGGGAAGAAGCAAGACGGUACCUGACUAAGAAGCCCCGGCUAAAUACGUGCCAGCAGCCGCGGUAAUACGUAGGGGGCAGGCGUUAUCCGGAUUUACUGGGUGUAAAGGGAGCGUAGACGGUAUGGCAAGUCUGAAGUGAAAGCCCAGGGCUUAACCCGGGGACUGCUUCGGAAACUGUUGGACUAGAGUGCGGGAGAGGUAAGUGGAAGUCGUAGUGUAGCGGUGAAAUGCUUAGAUAUUAGGAGGAACACCAGUGGCGAAGGCGGCUUACUGGACAGUAACUGACGUUGAGGCUCGAAAGCGUGGGGAUCGAACAGGAUUAGAUACCCCAGUAGUC
rnacentral:rRNA from 1 species